rnacentral:rRNA from 1 species
GGGGGACCUUCGGGCCUCUUGCCAUCGGAUGUGCCCAGAUGGGAUUAGCUUGUUGGUGGGGUAACGGCUCACCUAGGCGACGAUCCCUAGCUGGUCUGAGAGGAUGACCAGCCACACUGGAACUGAGACACGGUCCAGACUCCUACGGGAGGCAGCAGUGGGGAAUAUUGCACAAUGGGCGCAAGCCUGAUGCAGCCAUGCCGCGUGUAUGAAGAAGGCCUUCGGGUUGUAAAGUACUUUCAGCGGGGAGGAAGGGAGUAAAGUUAAUACCUUUGCUCAUUGACGUUACCCGCAGAAGAAGCACCGGCUAACUCCGUGCCAGCAGCCGCGGUAAUACGGAGGGUGCAAGCGUUAAUCGGAAUUACUGGGCGUAAAGCGCACGCAGGCGGUUUGUUAAGUCAGAUGUGAAAUCCCCGGGCUAAAA